rnacentral:tRNA from 1 species
GGGGCCGUAGUCUAGUCUGGGAGGAUGCCGGACAAAUAAUAAUUCCGGACUCGGACUCCGGUGGUCGAGGGUUCAAAUCCCUCCGGCCCCA